rnacentral:rRNA from 1 species
UACGUAGGGUGCAAGCGUUGUCCGGAAUCACUGGGCGUAAAGGGCGCGUAGGCGGCCCGGUAAGUAGGAGGUGAAAUCCUGCGGCUUAACCGCAGGGCUGCCUUCUAAACUGUCGGGCUGGAGCACGGUAGAGGCAGAUGGAAUUCCCGGUGUAGCGGUGGAAUGCGUAGAGAUCGGGAAGAACAUCGGUGGCGAAGGCGGUCUGCUGGGCCGUUGCUGACGCUGAGGCGCGACAGCGUGGGGAGCAAACAGG